rnacentral:rRNA from 1 species
UAAUACCAGCUCCCCGAGUGGUGGGGACGAUUAUUGGGCCUAAAGCGUUCGUAGCCGGCUUAAUAAGUCUCCCGUUAAAUCUGGCGUCCUAAGCGUCAGGCUGCGGGGGAUACUGUUAGGCUAGGGGGCGGGAGAGGUCGACGGUAUUCUCGGGGUAGGGGUGAAAUCCUAAAAUCCUGAGAGGACCACCAGUGGCGAAGGCGGUCGACCAGAACGCGCCCGACGGUGAGGGACGAAAGCUGGGGUAGCGAACCGGAUUAGAUACCCGGGUAGUCCCAGCCGUAAACUAUGCAGGCUAGGUGUUGGAGCGGCUACGAGCCACUUCAGUGCCGCAGGGAAGCUAUUAAGCCUGCCGCCUGGGAAGUACGGUCGCAAGACUG